rnacentral:ncRNA from 1 species
UGGGGAACUGAAACAUCUAAGUACCCAUAGGAAGAGAAAAUAACAAUGAUUCCGCAAGUAGUGGCGAGCGAACGCGGAAGAGCCCAAACCGCAGGCGUAGCAAUGCGCCGUGCGGGGUUAUAGGACCGGCGCCACGAAGAACUGAAAGCUAGCCGAACCGACUGGAAAGUCGGGCCGCAGCGGGUGACAGCCCCGUAGGCGAAAGCGUUCAGCGAUUCCAGCCGGCACCUGAGUAACCCGGAGCACGAGGAAUUCCGGGCGAAUUACCGGGGACCAUCCCGUAAGGCUAAAUACUAACGAGAGACCGAUAGCGAACCAGUACCGUGAGGGAAAGGUGAAAAGAACCUCGAACAGAGGAGUGCAACAGACCCUGAAACCAUAUGCCUACAAGCGGUCGGAGCGGCUCAGUGCCGUGACGGCGUGCCUUUUGCAUAAUGAACCUACGAGUCACCGUCGUUGGCAAGGUUAAGGACAAUGAUGUCCGGAGCCGAAGCGAAAGCGAGUCCGAAGAGGGCGCCGGAGUCAGCGGAGGUGGACGCGAAACCAAGUGAUCUACCCUUGGGCAGGUUGAAGGACAGGUAAAACUGUCUGGAGGACCGAACCGGUAAGCGUUGAAAAGCUUUCGGAUGACCUGAGGGUAGGA